rnacentral:rRNA from 1 species
CCUACGGGAGGCAGCAGUGAGGAAUAUUGGUCAAUGGACGCGAGUCUGAACCAGCCAUGCCGCGUGAAGGAUGACGGCUCUAUGGGUUGUAAACUUCUUUUAUACAAGAAUAAAGUGAGGUACGUGUAUCUUUUUGUAUGUAUCUUAUGAAUAAGGAUCGGCUAACUCCGUGCCAGCAGCCGCGGUAAUACGGAGGAUCCGAGCGUUAUCCGGAUUUAUUGGGUUUAAAGGGUGCGUAGGCGGUUGGUUAAGUUAGUGGUGAAAUUUCGCGGCUCAACCCUGAAACUGCCAUUGAUACUGUCGGCCUAGAGUAUAGUUGAGGUAGGCGGAAUGCGUGGUGUAGCGGUGAAAUGCAUAGAGAUCACGAAGAACACCGAUUGCGAAGGCAGCUUACUAAACUACCACUGACGUUGAGGCACGAAAGUGUGGGUAGCAAACAGGAUUAGAUACCCGUGUAGUC